CAGGCUUAACACAUGCAAGUCGAGGGGCAGCAUGGUCUUAGCUUGCUAAGACUGAUGGCGACCGGCGCACGGGUGAGUAACACGUAUCCAACCUGCCGUCUACUCUUGGACAGCCUUCUGAAAGGAAGAUUAAUACAAGAUGGCAUCAUGAGUCCGCAUGUUCACAUGAUUAAAGGUAUUCCGGUAGACGAUGGGGAUGCGUUCCAUUAGAUAGUAGGCGGGGUAACGGCCCACCUAGUCUUCGAUGGAUAGGGGUUCUGAGAGGAAGGUCCCCCACAUUGGAACUGAGACACGGUCCAAACUCCUACGGGAGGCAGCAGUGAGGAAUAUUGGUCAAUGGGCGAGAGCCUGAACCAGCCAAGUAGCGUGAAGGAUGACUGCCCUAUGGGUUGUAAACUUCUUUUAUAAAGGAAUAAAGUCGGGUAUGCAUACCCGUUUGCAUGUACUUUAUGAAUAAGGAUCGGCUAACUCCGUGCCAGCAGCCGCGGUAAUACGGAGGAUCCGAGCGUUAUCCGGAUUUAUUGGGUUUAAAGGGAGCGUAGAUGGAUGUUUAAGUCAGUUGUGAAAGUUUGCGGCUCAACCGUAAAAUUGCAGUUGAUACUGGAUAUCUUGAGUGCAGUUGAGGCAGGCGGAAUUCGUGGUGUAGCGGUGAAAUGCUUAGAUAUCACGAAGAACUCCGAUUGCGAAGGCAGCCUGCUAAGCUGCAACUGACAUUGAGGCUCGAAAGUGUGGGUAUCAAACAGGAUUAGAUACCCUGGUAGUCCACACGGUAAACGAUGAAUACUCGCUGUUUGCGAUAUACUGCAAGCGGCCAAGCGAAAGCGUUAAGUAUUCCACCUGGGGAGUACGCCGGCAACGGUGAAACUCAAAGGAAUUGACGGGGGCCCGCACAAGCGGAGGAACAUGUGGUUUAAUUCGAUGAUACGCGAGGAACCUUACCCGGGCUUAAAUUGCAGAUGAAUUACGGUGAAAGCCGUAAGCCGCAAGGCAUCUGUGAAGGUGCUGCAUGGUUGUCGUCAGCUCGUGCCGUGAGGUGUCGGCUUAAGUGCCAUAACGAGCGCAACCCUUGUUGUCAGUUACUAACAGGUUCCGCUGAGGACUCUGACAAGACUGCCAUCGUAAGAUGUGAGGAAGGUGGGGAUGACGUCAAAUCAGCACGGCCCUUACGUCCGGGGCUACACACGUGUUACAAUGGGGGGUACAGAGGGCCGCUACCACGCGAGUGGAUGCCAAUCCCCAAAACCUCUCUCAGUUCGGACUGGAGUCUGCAACCCGACUCCACGAAGCUGGAUUCGCUAGUAAUCGCGCAUCAGCCACGGCGCGGUGAAUACGUUCCCGGGCCUUGUACACACCGCCCGUCAAGCCAUGGGAGCCGGGGGUACCUGAAGUGCGUAACCGCGAGGAGCGCCCUAGGGUAAAACUGGUGACUGGGGCUAAGU
rnacentral:rRNA from 1 species